AUAUAUAUGUGUGUGUGUGUGUGUGUGUAUAUAUGUAUAUAUAUAUGUUGGUUGUGUCCUCCUUAUGCAGAGUUUGACCACCUCCUGUACCUACACCUUAGAACCAUCAUGGCAUCUGAUGUGGCUUUUCAAACCAGACAAUAUUCUGAAAAGACAACCACGUAGAUUGCACAUCCGAUUUGGACGACCAAGAGCUGCAGUUAAGUUCUGAUCUUUAUGGAUCUGAAAAUGUCUUUUGUAGCCUCCGUUAGA